AGCGAACGCUGGCGGCAGGCUUAACACAUGCAAGUCGAGCGGCCGUAGCAAUACGGCAGCGGCAGACGGGAGAGUAACACGUGGGAACGUGCCUAUCAGUUCGGAACAACCCAGGGAAACUUGGGCUAAUACCGGAUACGCCCUUACGGGGAAAGAUUUAUCGCUGAUAGAGCGGCCCGCGUCUGAUUAGCUUGUUGGUGAGGUAACGGCUCACCAAGGCGACGAUCAGUAGCUGGUCUGAGAGGAUGAUCAGCCUCACUGGGACUGAGACACGGCCCAGACUCCUACGGGAGGCAGCAGUGGGGAAUAUUGGACAAUGGGCGCAAGCCUGAUCCAGCCAUGCCGCGUGGAUGAUGAAGGCCUUAGGGUUGUAAAGUCCUUUCGGCGGGGAAGAUAAUGACGGUACCCGCAGAAGAAGCCCCGGCUAACUUCGUGCCAGCCGCCGCAGUAACAC
rnacentral:rRNA from 1 species